ACAAACUUGACUAUAGUAUUACAUAGUACAUGUAGCAAGAUCCACUUAACACAUUUCGUAGCCAUCUUUUAACCUAUUCCUGGACCCUCCUAGAUUGUCUGCCUUCUUCUUAUAGCUCUGUGCUCGUCAUCCACCCAUUGCUUUCUGAUGUUGUGCCAUCUGCUUUAGCUCACCGCAUUCUCUGUGCCAUGGGAAUCUUCCAAUCAGCUCCUGGCCAGAAUGCAAUCUCUAUUCCUCAAGUGAUCCUCAUUUGAGAUUGGAGACUGGAUUGUAUUAUCACAAUACUAACAGAGGCUGCCCUCAUUCAGGCCCUAAGCCAGGAGAUCAAGAGCAAGCAAGAUCCAAACUCAAAGGAGCUGCUGAAGGAACACUAAAUCUCUGCUUUCCCAGGCCCACCCUCAUGAUGGAUGGAGGCCAGGUUAUUUGAUCCAAUUAUCUGUGUGUCUCCAUGUUCUCAUCUGAAAAAUAGGUAUAAUAAAAAUAAUGCUUAACUCGUUUAAAAGAUUCCAUUAAAAAGCUUUUAACACAUAGGUACCAAGUCCAUAAAUGUUAACUCCUAUUAUGCUAAUGGCAUGAUGAUGAUGAUGAUGAUGAAGGAGAAGAAGAACAAGAACAAGGACAAAAAGAGAAGGAGAAGGAGGAGGAGGAAGAAGAGGAAGAUUAUGAAGAGGGGCUAGCCAAUUCCUAGUCAGUCAGAAAUUUAGCCAGACUGUAAAUUCCAGGCUGUCAGUUUUUACUCAUUAUUUGUUUUCUCUUCAGUUUCCAGUGCAGUGAAUGGCACAUAGUUGGCACUGCAGAAAUACCGAUAAAUAAAUGGAUAAAUAGGUCUUGCAAUUACCUUUCAGCUGCCCAGAAUUUGGGGAGCAGUAAUCCUUCUCAUUCAUGGGGAAAGAGCCUUCCAUUACUGAAAGGAACAUCCAGAUCCUUUAGCCACCUUUAGAACCAGUAACUAGGUGCACUCUUUGUCAAGUAGCUGCCACUUUUCCUUGAUCUUUAUAUGACACUAGGCAGAACUAAGAUUUAAAUUGACUACUUGUGGAGAACACUGUCUGAAGUCAAUCUCUUGGUUUGAACAAAACCAGCUAGCGUUGUCAGAUCUAGAAAUGUAAAGUGCAGACACAUCCUGCCAGACACUUGUUGGCAGGGGAAGGAUUAAAUAAAUUGCUAUGAUCCAAGAAGCCACUCCCUGUUAACAACCAUCAGAGAAGCCCCACAGCUUCUUAGUACAGGGUGAGCCUCAUUAAACUCCAUGAAGCAAUAGUCACAGAUUCAGGCAAUCAAAAUCUUAGGUUUUUACAACAGAGUGCAAGGAAGGGAUUGUACAUGGGUGGAGAAAACUGUUUCCAAAACUGCCCUCCUAGGCCACCACCUUCUUCCCUAGUUCUCAUCUCUUCUCAUCUAUCUCAGAAUAAGAUGAGAAUUUUAACAACACAGACUGGUCUCAUUGUCCCCAGACUGGAAAUCUCAGAAACUGUGUUUCUAUUCCCUCAUUCCCAGAGAACAAGCAAUAUCACCUCUUUAGACGCCUUAGUUGCCUAAUUUUCCAUGUUGUUUGUUUGUACUAUGGAAACAGAUUUUUAUAGCUGCAAUUAUCCUUAAGAAUAAAUCUGGCCCAUUGAUUUUCAUUCCCUACUCUGUUGAGCUAGUUGAUAAAAAUCUCCUAGGCAGCUCAUUAAAAAUUCAAAUUUCUAAGCCCAAAACUCAGAUUUUAUGAAUUAAUAGUGUUACGAUAAAGCCCAGAUAUCUCUUUCUUUCCUUUCUUUCUUCUUUUCUUUGCUCUUUCUUUUUAAAGUUAUCUUCCCAAAAGAUUCUGAUGCUCUUCUGCCAGGGUUGGAAGUCACAAAUUCUCCAAAUUCUCCUAAUCUUCAGUCUAACACUUGAAUCUUCUCUAUAAUAUUUACAGCAAACGACGAUCAAAUCCAUGUUUGAGAACUACUAGUGAUAGAAGACUUAAGAACAAAAUCAUCUCUUUAGAUAGUUAUCUAAUUCAGUAUAAUUUUAGCCUUUUGUUCUAACUUUAAUCUCCUUGGGACCUUGAAAAGUAAACAUAAUCCCUCUUUCACAUUCUAAGUUUCUUCAUUUGACAUGGCUCUUUGUAUGAGGAUCAAAGGAUUAUGUGUAGUUCAGCCUUUUCCAAAUUAUGUUUCAGAGGACCAUGUUUUAAGAUGUGUUCCAUAAAAAGGGCAAUCAGUUGGCAAAUAAGUGUGCUGCUUGCCAAGAACAUAGGCUACAUUCAGUGGUAGCAAGUCCAUGUUGUACAAGCAAAAACAAGAUGGUAGUCACUCUCACACAUGCAUUAGAAGGGAUUUUCACAUUGGAUGAAAGAAUUGACUAUAUAACUAAAUUAUGCUCUCUGCUCCCUUCAUACUGAUAUUUUUAUUAAAAGAAAUCUCAUAAUUUCUUCUCAUUCAUAUGAUGUACUCCCAUUUGAAACCUCAUAGAAAAGCAGGGAAAAGUGACCAUCCUACAUUUAACCCAACCCUAGUCAUCAAGGGUCAGCCCUAGGUCACACCCAAUCAGGAGGUUUUGCCAAUUAGUCAUUAACUUGAGGGAAGGGCUGGGUCUGUCUACUCCCAAUAUAAUUCACUUAUUUCUCAUCAGUGGCAAUAGAAGAAAGAUUUCACCCUUCUCUUAGUAAAGGCUCAGCAAAUUUCAGACGAAAGAGAAUCAGAAGUCAAAGAGGUCUACACCUACCCUUUUCCAGACACUUGGGAAUCUGACCUAAUUUUGUUUUAUACAUUGUAUAAGCCUUUUGGUAGCCUUAAUGAAAUAGUUUCAAAUUUUACACAUAUAUAUCAACCGGCUAUAUCAACCAUUUCUAAUCUCUCAUAAAUAUUCCAGUCCUAUCACAACUGAUUACAUAUUUUACAUAGUUGUAAUCACAGUACAUAUAUAAUUUUGUGUUCUGUAUUUCAUAUAUAUUGCAUAUAUCUUUUAUAUUCUUAUGUUAUUCAUAUUUAUAAUAAAAUAUAUAUCCAGAGGGCUUACCUUAUGAUCCUUAAUAUUUCUACAACUUUGUAAUUUAAGGUUACUGUAAAUUUAUGAUACAGUGUGAAAAUAAACUCUUAUACAGAAAU
rnacentral:lncRNA from 10 species